CCUUUUUAUUGUAGGAUUCACACGUAUAAUGAAUUCACAUUUAUUUCAGCAAUUUAGCAAACAUCAGGGAAAUAAAAGGCAAUGUACACUUCAAUACACUCGAAUUGCUGUAAAGCACCAGACUUCCUGAAUGUUCCUCCACCCAUCAGAGAAGAAACUCCUGUUUCUCACCAGCACACACUCGUAGCUUCACUCCUCCCCCUGACUGACUGACAUUAACAUGUUAUUAAUAUGCAAACAGGUGGAAGCACGGAUACGUAGUUCUCUCUCACUACAGGGACAUACUGGAGUUUUUCUACAAUUGAAAGAUUUACAGAUGUUCAUAUGAUCUAUGUGUAGGCACGCCUGAAAGCUGACACGCUACAGAUUCUCACCAGCUUUUAGUCAUGCUCGUAUGUUAAAACCCCGUCAUGAUGUUACGUGAGAAAGAAGAUACAAGGGAGUCUGACCAUGGUGGAGCUCGCCGGCGAUUCUCACGUCCCCAGGGGGUUAACACACCUUCCAUAAAAAGCAGGUAGUGUGUUCUACAGCCAUGUUUCAUAUUUACUGUAAUAAACUCACAUUACAGUCCAAAUUUUCCAUGAACAUUGCAGGUAUUAAAGAGUUUGCUGUGCUAAUUUAAGUCAAUCUCCUCACCGUUUCUUUCAUUCGUAACAUUACUGUUCAACAGAGUGAACACUAGGUAAGAGCUAGUAAUGUCGCGCAUGCGUAGUAGACGGUAGGCGGUGCUGCCGCAGUACAACUCCAGGUGUGUACGCGGAUCAGGUAGCGACCGUCGACGCAGAUCUAUUCUACACUAAAACUCAUUUUCCGCUCCUUUACCUGGUACGGAAACGAAACUGCGUCAGAUUACGGUGACAGAAAGUGGAAUAGAGGUGGACAGUAAUCGUUUGGAGUCAGAUGGUGCCUCUGGAGAUGAUCAUCAUUGCACCCAACAUUCACAGGAUGAGUCUACAUUCUGCAAUCUGCAGGUGCCAGAUGAAACAUUUGCUGAUGACCAGUAUUGAAUACCGCAGUCACAAGUGGAAACAAGCACUCCUCAGAUAUUGAACCAGAACUGAAACCAUCGACAGAGCAAGCCCAGAAAACCUCAUCUGAGCAAGCAACAGAAUCAACCAGUACCACAUCUGUUCCCAAAGGUGUUAAGGUGGUAAAGAAAAAGAAAUGGGAGACCAGUGAAGUGAAAGCAGUUGAAAAACAUCUGUACAGGUUCAUGAAAACUUGCACAGUGCCAGGAAAAAAACAUUGUGAGUCCUGUAUUAAAGCUGAGCCUGUUGCACUGAAAGGCAGGGAUCGGUUGUCCGUUAAGUUCUUUGUAAAAAAUAGAAUCACUGCCCUUAAAAGGAAAAUGUAACCCAGAAAAAGUCUGCAUGGUUUCAUUUGGUUUUAUUUGCACAGAUCAUUGGUAGUUUUAGUUUAUUAUUAUUAUUAUUAUUAUUAUUAUUAUUAUUAUUAUUAAGUUUAUAAUUAUUAUUAUUAAGUUUAUGGCUUGAAUUUUGUAUUGUUUUACUUUUUUUUUUUACAUUUCAUUUAUGAGAAACUUUUUUUGAGUGUUAAUUAGUAACUACCUGAAAAUACUAUUUGUGUGAAAAUACUCUGUUCAAAAAUACUGCAAUGCAAAUGGCAAAAUGUUUCAGAUUAAAAU
ensembl:lncRNA